CCUACGGGCGGCUGCAGUGGGGAAUCUUGCGCAAUGGGCGAAAGCCUGACGCAGCAACGCCGCGUGCGGGAUGAAGGCCUUCGGGUUGUAAACCGCUUUCAGCAGGGACGAAAAUGACGGUACCUGCAGAAGAAGCCCCGGCUAACUACGUGCCAGCAGCCGCGGUAAUACGUAGGGGGCAAGCGUUGUCCGGAUUUAUUGGGCGUAAAGAGCUCGUAGGCGGUUCCGUAAGUCGAGUGUGAAAAAUCUGGGCUCAACCCAGUGGAGCACUCGAUACUGCGGUGACUAGAGUACGGUAGAGGAGUGUGGAAUUCCUGGUGUAGCGGUGAAAUGCGCAGAUAUCAGGAGGAACACCAACGGCGAAGGCAGCACUCUGGGCCGGUACUGACGCUGAGGAGCGAAAGCGUGGGGAGCAAACAGGAUUAGAUACCCCGGUAGUC
rnacentral:rRNA from 1 species